rnacentral:rRNA from 1 species
UACAGAGGGUGCGAGCGUUGUCCGGAAUCACUGGGCGUAAAGGGCGCGUAGGCGGCCCCUUAAGCGUGCGGUGAAAGCCCGGGGCUCAACCCCGGGUCGGCCGUGCGUACUGGGGGGCUGGAGCUUGUCAGAGGCAGGCGGAAUUCCGGGUGUAGCGGUGGAAUGCGUAGAGAUCCGGAAGAACACCGGUGGCGAAGGCGGCCUGCUGGGACAAUGCUGACGCUGAGGCGCGACAGCGUGGGGGAGCAAACAGGAUUA